GAGAGUAAACCUGCGAGUCUUGUAGUAAUACAAGGCUUACGGCUCAGUAACACCUAGUCAACCUACCCUAUGGACGGGGAUAACCUCGGGAAACUGAGAAUAAUACCCGAUAGAACAUUAUACCUGGAACGGUUUAUGUUUCAAAUAAUUUAUUGCCGUAGGAUGGGACNUGCGGCCUAUCAGUUUGUUGGUGAGGUANUGGCCCACCAAGACUAUUACAGGUACGGGCUCUGAAAGGAGUAGCCCGGAGAUGGGUACUGAAACACGGACCCAGGCCCUAUGGGGCGCAGCAGGCGAGAAAACUUUGCAAUGUGCGAAAGCACAACAAGGUUAGUCCGAGUGGUUUCUGCUAAAGGAACCUUUUGUCAGUCGUAGAAACACUGUUGAAUAAGGGGUGGGCAAAGUUCUGGUGUCAGCCGCCGCGGGAAAACGAGCACCUCAGGUGGUCAGGGAUGAUUAUUGGGCCUAAAGCAUCCGUANCGUG
rnacentral:rRNA from 1 species